rnacentral:rRNA from 1 species
GACGAACGCUGGCAGCGUGCUUAACACAUGCAAGUCGAACGGAAAGGCCCUGCUUUUGUGGGGUGCUCGAGUGGCGAACGGGUGAGUAACACGUGAGUAACCUGCCCUUGACUUUGGGAUAACUUCAGGAAAAUGGGGGUAAUACCGGAUAGGAGCUCCUGCUGCAUGGUGGGGGUUGGAAAGGUUCGGCGGGUGGGGAUGGACUCGCGGCUUAUCAGCUUGUUGGUGGGGUAGUGGCUUACCAAGGCUUUGACGGGUAGCCGGCCUGAGAGGGUGACCGGCCACAUUGGGACUGAGAUACGGCCCAGACUCCUACGGGAGGCAGCAGUGGGGAAUAUUGCACAAUGGGCGGAAGCCUGAUGCAGCAACGCCGCGUGCGGGAUGACGGCCUUCGGGUUGUAAACCGCUUUCGCCUGUGACGAAGCGUGAGUGACGGUAAUGGGUAAAGAAGCACCGGCUAACUACGUG